rnacentral:rRNA from 1 species
CAGCAGCCACGGUAAAACGAAGGGGGCUAGCGUUGCUCGGAAUCACUGGGCGUAAAGGGUGCGUAGGCGGGUCUUUAAGUCAGAGGUGAAAUCCUGGAGCUCAACUCCAGAACUGCCUUUGAUACUGAGGAUCUUGAGUUCGGGAGAGGUGAGUGGAACUGCGAGUGUAGAGGUGAAAUUCGUAGAUAUUCGCAGGAACACCAGUGGCGAAGGCGGCUCACUGGCCCGAUACUGACGCUGAGGCACGAAAGCGUGGGGAGCAAACAGGAUUAGAUACCCCAGUAGUCCCUGUCUCUUAUAC